UACGGGGGGAGCAAGCGUUGUUCGGAUUUACUGGGCGUAAAGGGCGCGUAGGCGGUAGCACAAGUCAGUUGUGAAAUCUCCGGGCUUAACUCGGAAAGGUCAACUGAUACUGUGCGACUAGAGUGCAGAAGGGGCAACUGGAAUUCUCGGUGUAGCGGUGAAAUGCGUAGAUAUCGAGAGGAACACCUGCGGCGAAGGCGGGUUGCUGGGCCGACACUGACGCUGAUGCGCGAAAGCCAGGGGAGCGAACGGG
rnacentral:rRNA from 1 species